rnacentral:rRNA from 1 species
GACGUAGGGCGCGAGCGUUGUCCGGAUUUAUUGGGCGUAAAGAGCUCGUAGGCGGCUUGUUGCGUCGACCGUGAAAACCCGGGGCUCAACUUCGGGCUUGCGGUCGAUACGGGCGGGCUAGAGUUCGGUAGGGGAGACUGGAAUUCCUGGUGUAGCGGUGAAAUGCGCAGAUAUCAGGAGGAACACCAGAGGUGAAGACGGGUUGCUGGGCUGACACGUGACGCUGAGGCGCGAAAGCCAGGGGAGCAAACGGG